GAGGAAAGAGGGCGGCGGGCCGAAUACAGGCAAGUCGAGCGAACGGACGAGAAGCUUGCUUCUCUGAUGUUAGCGGCGGACGGGUGAGUAACACGUGGAUAACCUACCUAUAAGACUGGGAUAACUUCGGGAAACCGUAGCUAAUACCGGAUAAUAUUUUGAACCGCAUGGUUCAAAAGUGAAAGACGGUCUUGCUGUCACUUAUAGAUGGAUCCGCGCUGCAUUAGCUAGUUGGUAAGGUAACGGCUUACCAAGGCAACGAUGCAUAGCCGACCUGAGAGGGUGAUCGGCCACACUGGAACUGAGACACGGUCCAGACUCCUACGGGAGGCAGCAGUAGGGAAUCUUCCGCAAUGGGCGAAAGCCUGACGGAGCAACGCCGCGUGAGUGAUGAAGGUCUUCGGAUCGUAAAACUCUGUUAUUAGGGAAGAACAUAUGUGUAAGUAACUGUGCACAUCUUGACGGUACCUAAUCAGAAAGCCACGGCUAACUACGUG
rnacentral:rRNA from 1 species